CCCUUUUUUGCUGCACUGUGCUUGCAAAUUGCAGAGCAAUGAUAAGACACAAUGUAGAAAGAAACAUUUUCUUUUAUUUGGCGGACAUUAGAGUGUCAUCAAAAUAUAUAUAUAUAUAUAUAUAUAUUGAGCAGCUCCACUGCAAUUCACAUGACCUAGGAAUCCCAGCCAUACAACCGAAUGGAUAUUCGUAUAAGUGACGAUCAAGAUCAUUCUUCACUUGAAUGCCACGGAGCGCUGUUCAGUAACAGCAGUCAGUUUGUGUCCCAGCAAGCUGGAAUAUUAAUUCGUGUUUUGGUUAUUGGUGACAUAACGAAAUUUAUGGUUUUCUGGCCCAUCAGAUGUUUCAAUCAGAAAUAACUUCUGCAAAGAUGUACACCUUGUCAGCGGUACAUGCAGGAUGACUUGCGGUGGCCAGAGACUUUUGAGUGGGACUUCGGUAUCAAUGGAGGUAUAAUGUGUGUGCAUGCUUCAGUACAAGGGAGAUUGGAGGCAGCAUCAAGGCAACCUAUAGGCACUGUGUGAAAAAUCUUGAAAGCUAGGCUAUUUGCUAAUGCUCUUCUGCCCUCUGCACUUGAUAGAAUACUUUCCAGGUUUAAUUUCAAUCUGAAAAGAAAUUUAGUAUUUUCUGAUGCUACCUUGACAUGCAAACAAGCUUUUGUCAUGUAGGAGGAGGAGGGGGGGGUUAGGUUAAACUACAACACAAUUUAUCGAAGUUUUUCAGCGUCCUAUUUCAUGUGUGGUACACUUUCUUUAAUUUGGCUUGCUGAACUGGUAGUCGCUUAGUCUUGGGCCAGGGAUGACUGGAUGGGAGAAGACAAUGAGGUGUGGCGAGCCCGGGAGACAGCAAGAGCCGCAGGAGUCCUGGACUAAGGGCACCUCCCACACAAGCAGAAAGACACCUGCUUUUCCUUUCUUUUUUUUUCUUUUUAAUAAAUGUUUUUCCUUCUCCUCCUC